rnacentral:rRNA from 1 species
GGAGCAGGCGGCCGCAAGGGUCUGUGGUGAAAGACCGAAGCUAAACUUCGGUAAGCCAUGGAAACCGGGCGGCUAGAGUGUGGAAGAGGAUCGUGGAAUUCCAUGUGUAGCGGUGAAAUGCGUAGAUAUAUGGAGGAACACCAGUGGCGAAGGCGACGGUCUGGGCCGCAACUGACGCUCAUUCCCGAAAGCGUGGGGAGCAAAUA